rnacentral:rRNA from 1 species
CACGUAGGGGCCAAGCGUUGUCCGGAUUUAUUGGGCGUAAAGAGCUCGUAGGCGGUUCGACAAGUCGGGUGUGAAAUUCCGUGGCUUAACUGCGGGCUUGCAGCUGAUACGGGCGGGCUAGAGUUCGGUAGGGGAGACUGGAAUUCCUGGUGUAGCGGUGAAAUGCGCAGAUAUCAGGAGGAACACCGGUGGCGAAGGCGGGUCUCUGGGCCGAUACUGACGCUGAGGAGCGAAAGCGUGGGGAGCGAACAGG